CAGCCGCCACGGGAAUACGUAGGGUGCGAGCGUUAAUCGGAAUUACUGGGCGUAAAGCGUGCGCAGGCGGUUGUGUAAGACAGGUGUGAAAUCCCCGGGCUUAACCUGGGAACUGCGCUUGUGACUGCACAGCUAGAGUAUGGCAGAGGGGGGUGGAAUCCCACGUGUAGCAGUGAAAUGCGUAGAGAUGUGGAGGAACACCGAUGGCGAAGGCAGCCCCCUGGGCCAAUACUGACGCUCAUGCACGAAAGCGUGGGGAGCAAGCAGGAUUAGAUACCCGAGUAGUCCCUGUCUCUUAUAC
rnacentral:rRNA from 1 species